AGCCCCCUGCUCCUGUCUUCAACUUUGGCUGGUUAAAACAGGAUUCAGGGGGCCGACACUCUGGCUCUGCUGCCAGUAAGGAUCAUAGCAAGUGUUCAAUCUUAAUCAAGACUUUUCUAAUCCG
rfam:Candidatus Regiella insecticola 5.15 Rin_2504559971.122, whole genome shotgun sequence.